UUAGGAAAAGGUACCCAAACUACCGACCCCGACUUUUUCUGUACUCGUCUGCUGGGGUACAAACCUGAACUACUAUCACUGGCACCUACAACAGGACCUACAGUUACUUAGUUAUUAACAUAGUUAGCGUGCAGCCAACACGAUUAAUGACAACUUUAAAUUAUUUUCAUGAAAAGUUUGCAAAAUGCUUGAUUUAAGAACAAAAUCGCAACCUAUUAACAUUCCUGCCAAAAAUCAAGCCACCCUGAGGCCGUCAGACAUGCGUACUGUGUGAACUGCAAAGGUCGAGAGGGUGCAGUACUCAAAGAUCAGGAUUUACCCUCUCAAUCUGUACUGUACCUACCAAGCCAAUCCAAACCCCUUGGAAGAUGCCCACAAUUAGAACCACAGCCUCUUUAGUAGACAUCCUCUCCCUGACUUCUUACCCCUGCCACAAACCAAAACGCACAAGAAACCCUAGAUGAAGUUUAACUCAUAAAACGAGUCACUUAGUCAUGAAAGAAACCAUGUUUGAGGAAAAUUUAUUUCGUAUUUUGAUUUAAAAGUUUAACCCAUGUCCCAUCUGUUUCCAUGGAGGUUGUAAAAUUUGUGACCUAUACUGCAGCCAGUCAACAGGGGGAGCUCUAACUCCUUUGGCUACACUUUCUGGGAGCUGACAUGUCAUGCUUUUUAUUAUGUUCUCUGAUUAGACGUUUGAAACUAUAAAAUUGUUGUACCUACAAUUACAGUUUUUCCUUUUUGGAUUUUUUUUAACACUAUUGGAUUUUUUUGAAAAGGAAGUACAAGAUCUACUCUAACUACACUAUCACUGCAUUUAGGGAACGACACCACUUGGCACAGGUUAGAUAGAUGUUGCUCUUAGAAUUCGAUUUGACCUUAAGCGACAACGCAAACCCAGAUCUCUGAAGUCAAGUUUCAGACUCUGAUGUUUUUCAUUUUUCAUUAUGUUGGAUGUUUCAGUGUCUGAAUUUUCCUGCAGGGCACGGCAGUGUUGAUGUAGACUAAAGCUGCUGAUCUCUGUCACAUUGUUGUUUAAUAUUGAUUGAGCGAGGGAUUCAUAUUGAAAGAACUCAGCUCAACUCUUUCUAUGUUUUGUUGUAAAGAGGACUGAACACACACACGCACACACACGCACGCUGACACGAAAGCUCUACAAUGUAAAGGAGCAAUAAGCAGUGAUAAUCCCUCCUAGACUCUUCAUGGGAACAGUCUCCUGUUGUUUAGUUGUAAUUAUCCUUUAAUUCAGACUCUGAUGUCGUCUCUGCUUUCACCUGCACUGUCUCCGCUCUCCUAAACACACACACACACUUGCAGAGGGUACAGUAUAGUUUCUCUGUCUCGUGCAUCCACUCACACAGACACACAGACACACAGACACAUGCACAGCGUGGCUCUGUGCAUCAUUACACUCACUGUAUUGCCUUACACAGGUAGAAACCUGAAGACUGUGUUAAGCUGUUUAAGACUCUUUUAGCUUCAUUAAGACGGACAGAGCUCAGUCAGACAAAGUAGCUUUCACUGAGGCCCACAGUCUGCACCGUUCAGUCAUGGAUAAUUUAACACGGACCAAAAGUCAAGUGAUUUUCAACUUUUACUUUGAUUCUAAUCCUUUCUCUUCCUCCUCUGAUGUCUUUUUUUCCUAUCCUGUUCGACUCUAUUUUACUCUAUUUAGUCCUCUCUUACUAUCAUAAUACAAAUGUGCUGACGGAGAAAUGUUCCCCUGUCUGGCAGCCAACGUCAAUCAUCUCCCCUGUUUGUGGAAAUCACACCUGAGCCAAAAAGCGCUCUGCAAGUGGUUUCACGUGUCUCCAUUACGCCCGAGGAGAGCCUGAUUUAACUUCAGAGCCGCUCGCAGAGGCAUCAGAAAUUAAAAGUGAGAGAAAUGAUCUGACAGAAGUGCUCCUCGUGACGAGACAGAAGUUGGUAUUUUGUGUUGGUGCAGUUAGUUUAAUGUGGUUUCACAAGCAAGAGCAGAGAUGAAAGUGGUUUGGAGUCAUCUUCAAAUAUGGUUUUCAUGAUCUCAGCAUAAAAUUUGUCUCUAUUGCUUGAGUCAGAAGGCUUGCAUGGCCUCAUGCUACUUUUUCAUUUAUAUUUCCUUCCUUUUUUUGCAAUUUAUUCUCCCAUGGUCGUAUUUUCUGUCAUGUUUCCCCAACUGUUGGCCCAAAACUAGUCCCCGGUGCGGUGUUAAAAAGACACUCUGCUGCCUUAUAGCUUGACUUUUAUUUUAGGUCUCAUCAUUUUUAGACAGUUUUAACAGAAAACUACAAACAAAACCAGAAUGUUCCCAUCAACCCUGAACCUCAGAUCCUGGUUUUUGUGAAAUCCUGUACCCACAGGAUCAGGUAUUUACACUGGGACUGGUGAGUCUAUAAACUACGUCUUACCUUAGUGAAAGAAGACAUUAUAAAAAUCAUUAGGGAACAAUUACUAUGACUAAGACUGGCACCGUUUAAGGUCUGAUGAUACAGGAUUCUGACACCAGGGGGCACUGCAACUGCAUGGCCCCACACUGCAGCGAGAUAGACGCACCUAUGGAGAGAGUGGAGUGAGAGUUUGUGACAAAGACAGAAAGUGUGACAGGAAAAAAACACAGGGAAGUAGUGUGGAGGAAAGAAAAUUGUGGAAUAGUGAUACAAAUGUAGAAAAGUGAAAGAAAAAGAAGAGUUUAAGUUGUAAAAAACUCUGAUUUGAUUAGAGGAGAAAAACUUUCUUUUGUCUUUCCGCUUUACUGACGGGACAGUUUUCUUCUUUGUCCAUCUCCAUGCCAGCUCUCAGGUCUCCAGUCGCUCUAAAAAUGUCUCCCGCCACACUUGGGGUGAAAAAACGAGUUCAGUCUGAGAAUUUUGUAAGCGAAUCUUUGAAAACAAUACUUCUUUGUUCGAAUUUAGUCAUGCAUUGACUGGAAAAUAUUAGUCAGAAAUGAGAUUCAGUCUCUCCUCAUCUUGACUUGGACUUGACCUGCAGGUCCUUGUCACUUUUUGACUUUCACCUAACCCUGGCCCGGCAGCUCAUUCAGACAGAACUGCAGCAGCAGCAGCACUGAUGACUAACAAUAGGUGAAACAGCACAAUAGAGCCACUAACACUACAACCAACUGCACAGGAGGUCAAAGGUCAGAGCCACAGAGUCCUGACAACAUCUGACAGGACUUUUUUUUUUUUUUCCUGUUGGACUAAAAUGAUUAACUGAAAAAGUUUUAAAAAAUCUAAAGAAGUUGCAGAGAAAGUUUGAAAUAAGGAGCAGCUUAUUAAAGAGGUAGAAGAAAGGACAAGGACAGGAGACAAGAAGAGAAGUGAGUUCAAGUAGGAGCUGAAGUCAGAGUCUGACUUUGUGUUCCCCAAUAAAGACGAAUAAGAAGGGAACAUAUAUAAUAAGACUCUUUGUGUGGGCGUAAGAAGUCACAUCCAAGAUCUUUCUGUGAUCGGAGACCUGAAGUUUCAUAAAAUAUCUUAACAUGCAAACUUAUAGCAAAAUGAAAGUUCACGGCACUCAUUUCAUAUAUUAAUUAGUUAGGUCAGAGCAAACACGGCCUGUGAAAGUCUUAGGAAAAUCGUAUUAUCUUGAAGUGUUUUUUAGGCUCGUCUGCAUCAAAAACAGGAAAUGUGGAGUUAAAAAGAAAUGGAGAAUUCUGGAGGCAAGUAACCACAAUGAAAGACGCCAUUGAGAGGAAUUAUGGGAAAUGUUUGGCAGCAGGUUUUCUGAAGAUUAAGAGAGAGGGAGCACAUAGUCGAAGGCCUUUUCUGAUUUAUUUUUGACAGGUUUUAGCAAAAGAUUUGUCUUUUUUGAGUGUCUAAACUUUAGAACUUAAUUUAAUGUGUUUAAUUUUGUUUAUUCCUGACAGAGAGAGUGUGCAGAAAUUUAGCUGGACCAGAGUGAGCAAUGAGCUACUUUACAUCUGUAGUCAAUGUACAACAAUAUAAGCAACAAAAUCAGGACAAAAUUGAAAUAUAAAAAAACUAAAAUCAUGAUAUUAUGAAAGCAGAUCAGUUUAUACACCAAACAAGCACCAACAAAUGGAGUUAUAGGGAGUUAUACCUUCUUUCUUUACUCCUCUAUUCCUCUUGCAACAGCAACAUGAAAUACAACAAACGUCAAAGAGGACACAUAGUGCAUGCAAAAGAGUUUGUGCAUGUUCCUUCAUGGUAGUGUCAAGCAACUUCACAGUACAUCACAUCAUGUUUGAAUCAACCAUAGUGCCUCUGAAUUGUAUUUUUUCUUCAGUGAUUUUAAGAGAUUGAAAGUUGUUUUCCCAGCUUGUGAUUCAGUACACGGUGAAAUAUCACUGAGUGCAUGUACAGCUUUGCAGCAUCAACAGGUAGCUGGUUUUGAAAUGUGGUGAUCGAAGACCUGGGCCCCCCUCGAAGUUGUGGAAAAAGUUACGAGCAUAGUGAAAAAACUUAUCCUAGCUGACAUGUUGCAUCUUUUUCUGUUCCUUGGCUGCAUGUUUGGAUAAACAGAUGAAGUAAUUUGACUUAAACUGAGUGUAUUCUGUCAUUAAAUUUCAUUACUAUAACCUAUUAUAUAAUGAGGCCACUGCAUCGUCUGUACACCAACACUCAAACUGUGAUUUAACAACCGUAAAAUGAGUUAUUCUUUGUUAGUGGGUUCAAUAAUAUUGGGGCGCAGGCGGCAAGAAGAAAGGAGUCGAUGGGAGGACUUAAAGGAGGAAGGAAGAAAGAG